CAGGUCUUAAAAGAGAUUUUUUCUUGGAAGAGCAACAGGAAUUACGAAAAGUUUCUUCCUUAAAAGCGAUUCAGGAAGGUUGAUCAUCAUGGUGAUUAAUUUUUGAAAGGUCGAGAGUGGUGGACUGAAGAAUCUAAUUGGUAAUGCUUUUUUGAGACUUACAUAACAUAAAGUUUAACUUAUUGUGCUGCUAAAUUUAUUAUUGCAGGACUCUCUCCGAUGGGAUAACAUGAGCAAGUAUCACCUUCUGCAGCGUUAGAAUUGUCUGAUCAAGUGAUUUAAUUAUAUAACCAUAGAGAAUUAAAAAAAAAAAAAAAAACCCCAAAAAAUACAAGUUUGGUAUCCGCUCUAGAGAAUCUUGAUGAAACAUCAACAUGUAUUGAUGAUGAUGUUAUCUCGAAGCAACAAGAAGGUUUAUGCAGUCAAAGCAUAAUUGAUUUGAGUAUUCAUCUAUGAUCUGUCUUCAUCUUUAAUUUGAUGGAAUCGUAAAAGGACAUUACAUUAUACAGAUGAGUUGAAUUUGACCACGACAGUAAAACAGAAAAAUUGAAGAUUACAAAGCAAAAUCUUGAUACUUAUAUUUUGGUUUAGUUCCUCGAUAACAUCUUUUAAGGUAUUCAAUAGAUGCCAUGUCCAUCUAUACCACAACCAGGCAGCUAGCUAAUUAGAUUGUCUCUGCAUUAAUGGUGAUCUUCUUUCUUUCUUUAUAUGUUUGCAUUUACAAGUUCCUG
rnacentral:lncRNA from 1 species